rnacentral:rRNA from 1 species
AGGGUGUAAACGCUGCCGACUUGGUGUUGGAGGCCCUUCGGGGGCAUUCAGUGCCGGAGAGAAGUUGUUAAGUCGGCCACUUGGGGAGUACGUCCGCAAGGAUGAAACUUAAAGGAAUUGGCGGAGGAGCACCGCAACGGGAGGAGCGUGCGGUUUAAUUGGAUUCAACACCGGAAAACUCACCAAGGGCGACUGUUACAUGAAAGCCAGGCUAAUGACCUUGCUUGAUUUUCAGAGAGGAGGUGCAUGGCGUCAGUGACU